CGCCCGCCGCGCGCGGCGGGCGGGGCGGUGGCACGGGGGGCCUACGGGAGGCAGCAGUGGGGAAUUUUGCGCAAUGGGGGAAACCCUGACGCAGCAACGCCGCGUGGAGGAUGAAGCCCCUUGGGGUGUAAACUCCUUUCGAUCGGGAAGAUAAUGACGGUACCGAUAUAAGAAGCCCCGGCUAACUUCGUGCCAGCAGCCGCGUAAUA
rnacentral:rRNA from 1 species